rnacentral:rRNA from 1 species
AGCGAACGCUGGCGGCAGGCUUAACACAUGCAAGUCGAGCGCCCCGCAAGGGGAGCGGCAGACGGGUGAGUAACACGUGGGAACGUGCCUUUUGGUUCGGAACAACCCAGGGAAACUUGGGCUAAUACCGGAUAAGCCCUUACGGGGAAAGAUUUAUCGCCAAAAGAUCGGCCCGCGUCUGAUUAGCUAGUUGGUGGGGUAAUGGCCCACCAAGGCUACGAUCAGUAGCUGGUCUGAGAGGAUGAUCAGCCACAUUGGGACUGAGACACGGCCCAAACUCCUACGGGAGGCAGCAGUGGGGAAUCUUGGACAAUGGGCGCAAGCCUGAUCCAGCCAUGCCGCGUGAGUGAUGAAGGCCUUAGGGUUGUAAAGCUCUUUCAGUGGGGAAGAUAAUGACGGUACCCACAGAAGAAGCCCCGGCUAACUUCGUGCCAGCAGCCGCCGUAA